UGUCCUUUGGACAAUGGUAGGAGAGCGUUCUAAGGGCGUUGAAGCAUGAUCGUAAGGACAUGUGGAGCGCUUAGAAGUGAGAAUGCCGGUGUGAGUAGCGAAAGACGGGUGAGAAUCCCGUCCACCGAUUGACUAAGGUUUCCAGAGGAAGGCUCGUCCGCUCUGGGUUAGUCGGGUCCUAAGCUGAGGCCGACAGGCGUAGGCGAUGGAUAACAGGUUGAUAUUCCUGUACCACCUAUAAUCGUUUUAAUCGAUGGGGGGACGCAGUAGGAUAGGCGAAGCGUGCGAUUGGAUUGCACGUCUAAGCAGUAAGGCUGAGUAUUAGGCAAAUCCGGUACUCGUUAAGGCUGAGCUGUGAUGGGGAGAAGACAUUGAGUCUUCGAGUCGUUGAUUUCACACUGCCGAGAAAAGCCUCUAGAUAGAAAAUAGGUGCCCGUACCGCAAACCGACAC
rnacentral:rRNA from 1 species